rnacentral:rRNA from 1 species
AACGAACGCUGGCGGCAGGCCUCAAACAUGCAAGUCUAGGGGGUGUAGCAAUACAUCACCGGCGGACGGGUGCGUAACGCGUGGGAAUAUACCUAUUGGUUCGGAACAACUGAGGGAAACUUCAGCUAAUACCGGAUACGUCCUUACGGAGAAAGAUUUAUCGCCAAUAGAUUAGCCCGCGUUCGAUUAGCUAGUUGGUGGGGUAACGGCCCACCAAGGCGACGAUCGAUAGCUGUUCUGAGAGGAAGAUCAGCCACACUGGGACUGAGACACGGCCCAGACUCCUACGGGAGGCAGCAGUGGGAAUCUUGGACAAUGGGGGAAACCCUGAUCCAGCCAUGCCGCGUGAGUGAUGAAGGCC